rnacentral:rRNA from 1 species
CGGUGGAGCAUGUGGUUUAAUUCGAAGCAACGCGAAGAACCUUACCAGGUCUUGACAUCUAGUGCCAUCCUAAGAGAUUAGGAGUUCCCUUCGGGGACGCUAAGACAGGUGGUGCAUGGCUGUCGUCAGCUCGUGUCGUGAGAUGUUGGGUUAAGUCCCGCAACGAGCGCAACCCUUGUUAUUAGUUGCCAGCAUUAAGUUGGGCACUCUAAUGAGACUGCCGGUGACAAACCGGAGGAAGGUGGGGAUGACGUCAAGUCAUCAUGCCCCUUAUGACCUGGGCUACACACGUGCUACAAUGGGCGGCACAACGAGCAGCGAGUCUGUGAAGACAAGCGAAUCUCUGAAAGCCGUUCUCAGUUCGGACUGUAGUCUGCAACCCGACUACACGAAGCUGGAAUCGCUAGUAAUCGCGGAUCAGCACGCCGCGGUGAAUACGUUCCCGGGCCUUGUACACACCGCCCGUCACACCAUGGGAGUCUGAAAUGCCCAAAGCCGGUGGCCUAACCUUUCGGGGAAGGAGCCGUCUAAGGCAGGGCAGAUGACUGGGGUGAAGUCGUAACAAGGUAACC